GACGAACGCUGGCGGCGUGCUUAACACAUGCAAGUCGAACGGAAAGGCCCUGCUUUUGUGGGGUGCUCGAGUGGCGAACGGGUGAGUAACACGUGAGUAACCUGCCCUUGACUUUGGGAUAACUUCAGGAAACUGGGGCUAAUACCGGAUAGGAGCUCCUGCUGCAUGGUGGAGGUUGGAAAGUUUCGGCGGUUGGGGAUGGACUCGCGGCUUAUCAGCUUGUUGGUGGGGUAGUGGCUUACCAAGGCUUUGACGGGUAGCCGGCCUGAGAGGGUGACCGGCCACAUUGGGACUGAGAUACGGCCCAGACUCCUACGGGAGGCAGCAGUGGGGAAUAUUGCACAAUGGGCGGAAGCCUGAUGCAGCAACGCCGCGUGCGGGAUGACGGCCUUCGGGUUGUAAAGCGCUUUCGCCUGUGACGAAGCGUGAGUGACGGUAAUGGGUAAAGAAGCACCGGCUAACUACGUG
rnacentral:rRNA from 1 species